rnacentral:rRNA from 2 species
GACGUGUACCUGAAGAAUAAGCAUCGGCUAACUCCGUGCCAGCAGCCGCGGUAAGACGGAGGAUGCAAGUGUUAUCCGGAAUCACUGGGCGUAAAGCGUCUGUAGGUGGUUUAAUAAGUCAACUGUUAAAUCUUGAAGCUCAACUUCAAAAUCGCAGUCGAAACUAUUAGACUAGAGUAUAGUAGGGGUAAAGGGAAUUUCCAGUGGAGCGGUGAAAUGCGUAGAUAUUGGGAAGAACACCGAUGGCGAAGGCACUUUACUGGGCUAUUACUGACACUCAGAGACGAAAGCUAGGGUAGCAAAUGGGAUUAGAUACCCCAGUAGUCCUAGC